CCUACGGGGGGCUGCAGUGAGGAAUAUUGGUCAAUGGACGAGAGUCUGAACCAGCCAAGUAGCGUGAAGGAUGACUGCCCUAUGGGUUGUAAACUUCUUUUAUAUGGGAAUAAAAUGUUCCACGUGUGGGAUUUUGUAUGUACCAUAUGAAUAAGGAUCGGCUAACUCCGUGCCAGCAGCCGCGGUAAUACGGAGGAUCCGAGUGUUAUCCGGAUUUAUUGGGUUUAAAGGGAGCGUAGGUGGAUUGUUAAGUCAGUUGUGAAAGUUUGCGGCUCAACCGUAAAAUUGCAGUUGAAACUGGCAGUCUUGAGUACAGUAGAGGUGGGCGGAAUUCGUGGUGUAGCGGUGAAAUGCUUAGAUAUCACGAAGAACUCCGAUUGCGAAGGCAGUUCACUGGACUGCAACUGACACUGAGGCUCGAAAGUGUGGGUAUCAAACAGGAUUAGAUACCCUAGUAGUC
rnacentral:rRNA from 1 species